GAUGAACGCUAGCGGGAGGCUUAACACAUGCAAGUCGUGGGGCAGCACGGGGUAGCAAUACUCUGGUGGCGACCGGCGCACGGGUGAGUAACGCGUAUGCAACCUGCCCUGUACAGGGGGAUAGCACGGAGAAAUUCGGAUUAAUACCCCAUAAAGAUAUCGAGAGGCAUCUUUUGAUAUUUAAAGCUUAGGCGGUACGGGAUGGGCAUGCGUAACAUUAGCUAGUUGGUAGGGUAACGGCCUACCAAGGCCACGAUGUUUAGGGGUCCUGAGAGGGUGAUCCCCCACACUGUUACUGAGACACGGACCAGACUCCUACGGGAGGCAGCAGUGAGGAAUAUUGGUCAAUGGGCGCAAGCCUGAACCAGCCAUCCCGCGUGCAGGAAGAAUGCGCUAUGCGUUGUAAACUGCUUUUCCAGGGGAAGAAAAUCCUGAACGUGUACGGGACUGACGGUACCUUGGGAAUAAGCAUCGGCUAACUCCGUGCCAGCCGCCGCAGUAAAAC
rnacentral:rRNA from 1 species